rnacentral:rRNA from 1 species
GGGUUGUGAGGUUAAGUGACUAAGCGUACACGGUGGAUGCCUAGGCAGUCAGAGGCGAUGAAGGGCGUGCUAAUCUGCGAUAAGCGUCGGUAAGGUGAUAUGAACCGUAAUAACCGGCGAUACCCGAAUGGGGAAACCCAGUGCAAUUCGUUGCACUAUCAUACGAUGAAUACAUAGUCGUAUGAGGCGAACCGGGGGAACUGAAACAUCUAAGUACCCCGAGGAAAAGAAAUCAACCGAGAUUCCCCCAGUAGCGGCGAGCGAACGGGGAGGAGCCCAGAACCUGAAUCAGUUCUUGUGUUAGUGGAAGCGUCUGGAAAGUCGCACAGUAAAGGGUGAUAGUCCCGUACACUAAAAUGCAUUAACUGUGAGUUCGAUGAGUAGGGCGGGACACGUGACAUCCUGUCUGAAUAUGGGGGGACCAUCCUCCAAGGCUAAAUACUCCUGACUGACCGAUAGUGAACCAGUACCGUGAGGGAAAGGCGAAAAGAACCCCGGCGAGGGGAGUGAAAUAGAACCUGAAACCGUGUACGUACAAGCAGUGGGAGCACCUUCGUGGUGUGACUGCGUACCUUUUGUAUAAUGGGUCAGCGACUUAUAUUUUGUAGCAAGGUUAACCGUAUAGGGGAGCCGUAGGGAAACCGAGUCUUAACUGGGCGACUAGUUGCAAGGUAUAGACCCGAAACCCGGUGAUCUAGCCAUGGGCAGGUUGAAGGUUGGGUAACACUAACUGGAGGACCGAACCGACUAAUGUUGAAAAAUUAGCGGAUGACUUGUGGCUGGGGGUGAAAGGCCAAUCAAACCGGGAGAUAGCUGGUUCUCCCCGAAAGCUAUUUAGGUAGCGCCUCGUGAACUCAUCUUCGGGGGUAGAGCACUGUUUCGGCUAGGGGGCCAUCCCGGCUUACCAAACCGAUGCAAACUCCGAAUACCGAAGAAUGUUAUCACGGGAGACACACGGCGGGUGCUAACGUCCGUCGUGAAGAGGGAAACAACCCAGACCGCCAGCUAAGGUCCCAAAGUCAUGGUUAAGUGGGAAACGAUGUGGGAAGGCAUAGACAGCCAGGAUGUUGGCUUAGAAGCAGCCAUCAUUUAAAGAAAGCGUAAUAGCUCACUGGUCGAGUCGGCCUGCGCGGAAGAUGUAACGGGGCUAAACCAUGCACCGAAGCUGCGGCAGCGACGCUUAGGCGUUGUUGGGUAGGGGAGCGUUCUGUAAGCCGUUGAAGGUGGCCUGUGAGGGUUGCUGGAGGUAUCAGAAGUGCGAAUGCUGACAUAAGUAACGAUAAAGCGGGUGAAAAACCCGCUCGCCGGAAGACCAAGGGUUCCUGUCCAACGUUAAUCGGGGCAGGGUGAGUCGACCCCUAAGGCGAGGCCGAAAGGCGUAGUCGAUGGGAAACAGGUUAAUAUUCCUGUACUCGGUGUUACUGCGAAGGGGGGACGGAGAAGGCUAGGCUAGCCGGGCGACGGUUGUCCCGGUUUAAGCGUGUAGGGGGAGUGACCUGGUAAAUCCGGUUACUUAU